rnacentral:lncRNA from 1 species
GUUGAUUUAUGUCGUUUAUACAGAAGAAAAUGAUCUAUUAAUAUAUACAAGUUUCUGUAAGAAAAUACUUUUUCUAUGAGAGUGAUAAAAACGAAGAAGGAAAAAAAAGGGCAAUAAAUGUAUUCCUUUGCUGAGAAGAUUUGAUUUGUGCGAAAGGUUUUCUUUCAGUCACUUCUCUCUCUGUUCCCACUUCUUGUCUUCUCUGGGGACGCUUCGAUCUCUAACUUCGUUAUCCAGAAACUCGCUCAACAGACCGAAUUUAACAAAUAGGUGCUUUAGAUGAGGUCGCAUGAAGGUCAAUCUAUUAUGAGAAUGCGCUCCAACAAUAACAACAACGUUAGCAGAGAACUAAAACAAAAAUCUGCCUUAAUUAAAUAGUUUUAAAGCUUUGGAAGUAAAGUAGAAUGAUUCCUUUACUACUGUUUUACAGAAAAGGGGGAUCGUCGUCGUCCUCCUCCUCAUCGAUUUCGAAUUUAACACUUUUAAGAAAAAAGCAACUUGUGUAUACAGUUUGCACAUGUGAGAGACGUCUGGAGCACAUGUUACAGUCAUUCGGUCGUCUUGGAAAUUGUGUGUUAUCGACUUUAUUUCCCAGAAAAAUGUCUCGGGCAUUUCGUUUAUUUUUUUUCCCUCAAAAUGUGACAUUUAAGUCGAUCUGGAAAUAGUCGAAAUUUUUCUCGUAACCCAAACUUGCUGUUCCAACAUUAGAUGCGGCACAUUUUUAACCGCAGUAUUACGAAUUGUAAAAUUUCCUGCCAUUAAAUACAUUAAGGAAGAUCCGCAGGAUACAUAAAGACGACUAAAGAGCGACAUAAAGAAUGAAAACCUAAAAAUUUCUUUGCAGCGAUGACAUCGUUGGAGAGCUCAAGCACGCAAUGCCAGCGUGUUGAGACACAUAAAUCCGUUUCCAUAAAUUAACAUUAGUUUUAGAAAUAUUUUCUUGUUUCUUUUUGUUAAUUGAGAAACAUUUUUUCUCAAUUAACAAGAUGAAGUUUAUUCCAGUACCUAAAGAGGUUUAAGUCCUGAGAGGUUUGACGAGCUUUUCGGUUCGUCGUCAUUUACCAACUAAAUUAUCCUGGAUAUCCUCAGUGUCACUGCCAUUGCUUUAAUCUUCCUACCACCAAAUGAGAUUUCUUAUUAACCUCUAUGGAGUUAUACCAGAGCGUAACUGGAAACACAGCCGAGGGGUUAAUAACAUUCGAUCCUUUAUCCUUACCAAUUAAUCUGUUAAUAAGCAAAGAUAAGAGCAGAGGGAUGCUUUGCAACUCUCCCACAUUCAAUUUACUGAGAAUGGUGUGCAUAAGUGACAUAUUUUAGUGUAUAUUUUGCAAUUUGUGU